rnacentral:rRNA from 1 species
UGGAAGAUUGAGAGGGGCUGCUCCUAGUACGAGAGGACCGGAGUGGACGAAUCACUGGUGUUCGGGUUGUCAUGCCAAUGGCAUUGCCCGGUAGCUAAAUUCGGAAGAGAUAACCGCUGAAAGCAUCUAAGCGGGAAACUUGCCUCGAGAUGAGUCUUCCCUGGGGCUUUAAGCCCCCUGAAGGAACGUUAAAGACUAUGACGUUGAUAGGCUGGGUGUGUAAGUGCAGCGAUGCAUUGAGCUAACCAGUACUAAUGAUCCGUGAGGCUUAACCUUACAACACCGAAGGUGUUUUGUA